UUGGGCGAACCCUGCCUCAUACAGAGGGAUAAUCAUGUGAAAACGUGACUAAUACCGCAUGUCGUUUCGGGAGGGCAUCCUCCUGAAAGAAAAGGAAGCAAUCCGGUAUGAGAUGGGCCCGCAUCUGAUUAGCUAGUUGGUGAGAUAACAGCCCACCAAGGCGACGAUCAGUAGCCGACCUGAGAGGGUGAUCGGCCACAUUGGGACUGAGACACGGCCCAA
rnacentral:rRNA from 1 species